rnacentral:rRNA from 1 species
AUUGAACGCUGGCGGCAUGCCUUACACAUGCAAGUCGAACGGCAGCACGGACUUCGGUCUGGUGGCGAGUGGCGAACGGGUGAGUAAUGUAUCGGAACGUACCAUUGAGUGGGGGAUAACUAUCCGAAAGGAUAGCUAAUACCGCAUAUUCUCUCCGGAGGAAAGCAGGGGACCGCAAGGCCUUGCGCUCAUUGAGCGGCCGAUAUCAGAUUAGCUAGUUGGUGAGGUAAAGGCUCACCAAGGCGACGAUCUGUAGCGGGUCUGAGAGGAUGAUCCGCCACACUGGAAAUGAGACACGGUCCAGACUCCUACGGGAGGCAGCAGUGGGGAAUUUUGGACAAUGGGGGCAACCCUGAUCCAGCCAUGCCGCGUGAGUGAAGAAGGCCUUCGGGUUGUAAAGCUCUUUCGGCCGGGAAAAAAUCGCAUAGGCUAAUACCCUGUGUGGAUGAUGGUACCGGAAUAAGAAGCACCGGCUAACUACGUGCCAGCCGCCGCAGUAACAC